GACGAACGCUUGCGGCGUGCCUAAGAAAUGCAAGUCGAACGGUCGGCAUCUUCGGAUGUCGGUAGUGGCGAACGGUCGCGUAACACGUAAGCAACCUGCCCCAAAGUUUGGGACAACAGUCCGAAAGGGCUGCUAAUACCGGAUGUGCCCAGUUCUUGGCAUCAGGAACUGUGUAAAGCUUUUAUGUGCUUUGGGAUGGGCUUGCGGCCUAUCAGGUAGUUGGUGGGGUAACGGCCUACCAAGCCAUUGACGGGUAGCUGGUCUGAGAGGACGAUCAGCCGGAUUGGGACUGAGAUACGGCCCAGACUCCUACGGGGGGCAGCAAUUAGGAAUCUUGCGCAAUGGGGGCAACCCUGACGCAGCGACGCCGCGUGGAGGAAGACGGCUUUCGGGUUGUAAACUCCUUUUAACGGGGAAGAAGCAAGUGACGGUACCCGUUGAAUAAGCCCCGGCUAACUACGUGCCAGCAGCCGCGGUAAUACGUAGGGGGCGAGCGUUGUCCGAAGUUACUGGGCGUAAAGCGCGCGUAGGCGGCUUGUUAAGUUCGUGGUGAAAGGUUCAACGCUCAACGUGAACAGUGCCGUGGAUACUGGCAGGCUUGAGUUUGGGAGAGGAGUGCGGAAUUCCUGGUGUAGCGGUGAAAUGCGUAGAUAUCAGGAGGAACCCCGGUGGCGAAGGCGGCACUCUGGCCUAAAACUGACGCUGAGGCGCGAAAGCGUGGGGAGCGAACGGGAUUAGAUACCCCGGUAGUCCACGCCGUAAACGAUGGGUGCUAAGUGUCGGGGGUAUCGACCCCCCCGGUGCUGUCGCAAACGCAUUAAGCAUCCCGCCUGGGGAGUACGGCCGCAAGGUUGAAACUCAAAGGAAUUGACGGGGGCCCGCACAAGCGGUGGAGCAUGUGGAUUAAUUCGUCACUAACCGAAGAACCUUACCCAGACUUGACAUCCUCGGACCGCGGCUGAAAGGUCGUUUUACCCUUCGGGGUACCGGGAGACAGGUGUUGCAUGGCUGUCGUCGGCUCGUGUCGUGAGAUGUUGGGUUAAGUCCCGCAACGAGCGCAACCCUCAUGGUAUGUUGGCAGCGUAAAGUCGGCCACUCUUACCAAACUGCCCGUGCAAGCGGGAGGAAGGUGGGGAUGACGUCAAGUCGGCAUGGCCCUUACGUCUGGGGCUUCACACAUGCUACAAUGGCCGGGACAGACCGUUCCGAGACCGCGAGGUGGAGGUAAUCGGAGAAACCCAGUCCAAGUUCGGAUUGCAGGCUGCAACUCGCCUGCAUGAAGCCGGAAUCGCUAGUAACCGCCGGUCAGCAAAACGGCGGUGAAUACGUUCCCGGGCCU
rnacentral:rRNA from 1 species